rnacentral:rRNA from 1 species
CCUACGGGUGGCAGCAGUGAGGAAUAUUGGUCAAUGGGCGCGAGCCUGAACCAGCCAAGUAGCGUGAAGGAUGACUGCCCUACGGGUUGUAAACUUCUUUUAUAAAGGAAUAAAGUGAGGCACGUGUGCCUUUUUGUAUGUACUUUAUGAUUAAGGAUCGGUUAACUCCGUACCAGCAGCCGCGGUAAUACGGAGGUUCCGAGCGUUUUCCGGAUUUAUUGGGUUUAAGGGGACCGUAGAUGGGUUGUUAAGUCGGGUGUGAAAGUUUGCGGCUAAAGCGUAGAAGUGCAAUUGAUACUGGCAGGCUGGAGUGCAGAUGAGGUAGGCGGAAUUCGUGGUGUAGCGGUGAAAUGCAUAGAUAUCACAAAGAACACCGAUUGCGAAGGCAGCCUACUAAACUGCCACUGACAUUGAUGCUCGAAAGUGUGGGUAUCAAACAGGAUUAGAUACCCCUGUAGUC